rnacentral:lncRNA from 1 species
CUUUGCAAAGAAUCCAAGACCAACAAGAAAGGAGAGUAAUUUUCUACCUCACCCUGCCACCACCAGAAGAGGGGCCCAGAGAUGGGGGAGAGAGUGGCAGCAAGGGAUUCUGGUU